GUAUCCGUAGCUCAGUUGGAUAGAGCACCGGCCUCCGACGCCGGGUGUCGAGGGUUCGACUCCCCCCGGGUACA
rnacentral:tRNA from 1 species